GAUGAACGCUGGCGGCGUGCCUAAUACAUGCAAGUCGAGCGAACAGAUGAGGAGCUUGCUCCUCUGACGUUAGCGGCGGACGGGUGAGUAACACGUGGAUAACCUACCUAUAAGACUGGGAUAACUACGGGAAACCGGAGCUAAUACCGGAUAAUAUAUUGAACCGCAUGGUUCAAUAGUGAAAGACGGUUUUGCUGUCACUUAUAGAUGGAUCCGCGCCGCAUUAGCUAGUUGGUAAGGUAACGGCUUACCAAGGCAACGAUGCGUAGCCGACCUGAGAGGGUGAUCGGCCACACUGGAACUGAGACACGGUCCAGACUCCUACGGGAGGUAGCAGUAGGGAAUCUUCCGCAAUGGGCGAAAGCCUGACGGAGCAACGCCGCGUGAGUGAUGAAGGUCUUCGGAUCGUAAAACUCUGUUAUUAGGGAAGAACAAAUGUGUAAGUAACUAUGCACGUCUUGACGGUACCUAAUCAGAAAGCCACGGCUAACUACGUG
rnacentral:rRNA from 1 species